rnacentral:rRNA from 1 species
AUUGAACGCUGGCGGCAGGCCUAACACAUGCAAGUCGAGCGAGCGGCGGACGGGUGAGUAAUGUAUGGGGACUGCCUGAUAGAGGGGGAUAACUACUGGAAACGGUAGCUAAUACCGCAUACGAUCGGAUAACCCAUAUGGGAUUAUCUAGUAGGUGAGGUAAUGGCUCACCUAGGCGACGGGCCCUAGCUGGUCUGAGAGGAUGAUCAGCCACACUGGGACUGUGACACGGCCCAUACUCCUCCGGUGGCAGCAGUGGGGAAUAUUGCACAAUGGGAGCGAGCCUGAUGCAGCGAUGCCGCUUGUAUGACGAAGGCCCUAGGGUUGUAAAGUACUGUCAGUAGGGAGGCGUUACCGACAGAAGAAGCACCGGCUAACUCCGUGCCAGCAGCCGCGGUAAUAC